CUGGAAACAAGGUACUCUGCAUAUGAUCCCUGGCCUUUAUCUUCUUGCUGGUCUAUUAGGAAACCUUUUAGUGCAGACAGAUAGAAAACCAUCCACAUGUGCCUUCCUGCAUCACUGUGUCUGCACUAGCUCAUAAAUCUGCCAUCGGUCGCCAUUCCCAGACUAAUUUUUCCUAUCUCACUGAAGCUGGAAGAAAAAACAGGUGCUACUCAAAGACCAUCUAAACUUUCCCUACAUGAGUCGGGUUGCUUCUCCUUAGGCAUUGUGGUGGGCCCCUGCUUUCUUGGCUUCGUCAUUUUGGUGACAUCUGAACAGCUUCAAUCCUACUACAGCUCAAAGCUCCUAGACUCAAUGGGGCCACCAGCCUCAGCCUAUCCAGUAAUGGGGA